UGAAUCCAGAGAGAUUUUUCCAAGUUUUCACACUUUCAUAAAUCUCACUAGAAGCUUGUGUUACUUCCCAUCUUUACAACACACAUUCUCCCUGCAUGUUGCUAUACUGUGGAGAGAAGAAGGACAUUUUCUGCUCUUCCUUGUCAGUCAAACCAUAGGCACCGAGUCUGUGCCAAAGUCCUUUGCUUUUGCCCACUAUUGUGAAAGUUUUGGCUACGUUGCAGUAACCAGUAGGAACCCUUUCCCACUGACAUUGUAAUUCUGUUGUAAACGGGCAAAUGUGUGAACUUGGUGUGACUUGGGUUUGGCAGGUAAUUGCUCGGCCUCUAUAUGAAAUGAGGGCAGCCCACAUCACUGCACGGACCAUACCAUUUCCACUUAUCUGAGCCACAGGGAAAACAACGAUGCCCCAAAGUAUAGGGAAUGCAAAUCACCCCAUAAAAUGCAUAUAUAAAUAUGUGAAUAAAUUCCACCAGACUGAAUGUUUAAUCUAAUAAUGUUCAGCAUCAACAUAGACAAGACGUUGAAGAGCAAUCUAAAAUCAUUACAAAUUAAAAAACAUUAAAAAAACACUCACAGACAUAAAUGCACAUUGAACAAUACAAUGUGCAAAAUCACAUUAGCUCUUACCAGGGCCAGUAACUCUCCAAUCCAUUGCUUCAGUAG